AGAGUUUGAUCAUGGCUCAGAUUGAACGCUGGCGGCAUGCCUUACACAUGCAAGUCGAACGGUAACAGGUCUUCGGAUGCUGACGAGUGGCGAACGGGUGAGUAAUACAUCGGAACGUGCCCGAUCGUGGGGGAUAACGGAGCGAAAGCUUUGCUAAUACCGCAUACGAUCUACGGAUGAAAGCAGGGGACCGCAAGGCCUUGCGCGGACGGAGCGGCCGAUGGCAGAUUAGGUAGUUGGUGGGAUAAAAGCUACCAAGCCGACGAUCUGUAGCUGGUCUGAGAGGACGACCAGCCACACUGGGACUGAGACACGGCCCAGACUCCUACGGGAGGCAGCAGUGGGGAAUUUUGGACAAUGGGCGAAAGCCUGAUCCAGCCAUGCCGCGUGCAGGAUGAAGGCCUUCGGGUUGUAAACUGCUUUUGUACGGAACGAAAAGACUCCUUCUAAUAAAGGGGGUCCAUGACGGUACCGUAAGAAUAAGCACCGGCUAACUACGUGCCAGCAGCCGCGGUAAUACGUAGGGUGCAAGCGUUAAUCGGAAUUACUGGGCGUAAAGCGUGCGCAGGCGGUUAUAUAAGACAGAUGUGAAAUCCCCGGGCUCAACCUGGGAACUGCAUUUGUGACUGUAUAGCUAGAGUACGGUAGAGGGGGAUGGAAUUCCGCGUGUAGCAGUGAAAUGCGUAGAUAUGCGGAGGAACACCGAUGGCGAAGGCAAUCCCCUGGACCUGUACUGACGCUCAUGCACGAAAGCGUGGGGAGCAAACAGGAUUAGAUACCCCGGUAGUCCAA
rnacentral:rRNA from 1 species